rnacentral:lncRNA from 1 species
CAAAUAGGCCUAAAAGUACAUGAAUACAGAUGCUUGUUUACAAUUGUUUGUUAAAUUCAUUUUUCUUGCUUGUAAACAAAUUUUUCAAUGCAUCCAGUGCCUCUGACAAUAGACAUUUCUAAUAUUUCAUCUUGCAUAAUUAAAGUAACAUUUUGUAUUCAAAUAGAAUUGUGAUAUUUGGGUCACAAAGGCUUCAAUAAAAAAGUAUGCAGCAGUGUUGCAUGUACACUAUACAAGAUUAUCGGCAUGUUUACAUUCCUCCCACAGUGGACUUCUAGGUAACCUCAUCCCUGCAGGCUCGAAUUGCUGGAGCAGACAGAGAGCGAGCCGGCUGGUGCACGAGUUUAAUUUACGCAAUGUUGACAUAGCGCCGCUCAGUGGUUUAUGAGUCAAGAACAGAUCCGGUAGAAGUUGCCUCUAAGGCUAAGCAAAGUCAUAAAAUCAGUUCCCCAUAUACCCAAGAAGACGAGGGACAGAACAGGGACCAUGCCUCAGGACUACCUGGCCUGAUGACUCCUUGCUGUCCCCAGUCCACCUGGUCGUGCUGCUGCUCCAGUUUCAACUGUUCUGCCUGUGGCUAUGGGACCCUGACCUGUUCACCGGACGUGCUACCUGUCCCGGACCUGCUGUUUUGGACUCUCUCUACCGCACCUGCUGUCUCUAACUCUGAAUGAUCGGCUAUGAAAAGCCAACUGACAUUUACUCCUGAGGUGCUGACCUGUUGCACUCUCUACAACCACUCUGAUUAUUAUUAUCUGACCCUGCUGGUCAUCUAUGAAUGUUUGAACAUCUUGGCCAUGUACUGUUAUAAUCUCCACCCCGCACAGCCAGAUGAUGACUGGCUACCACUCAGAGCCUGGUUCCUCUCUAGGUUUCUUCCUAGGUUCCGGCCUUUCUAGGGAGUUUUUCCUAGCCACUCUGCUUCUACAUCUGCAUUGCUUGCUGUUUGGGGUUUUAGGCUGGGUUUCUGUACAGCACUUUGUGACAUCGGCUGAUGUAAAAUGCUUUCUGACGUCACUCAGGGGGCGGUGACUUACUUGCACGAAAUUAAACAAUUUCCUCUUAUAGUUUCCAAAAUCACAUCCCUCUUUAAACACUUUCAUCAUUUUUCAUAUUUCAUGCACAACGCAUCGGAUGGACACCUCACAUAUGUGUGUAUACCUCAAGUCACAGUAUUUCCUUUAUCAUUUUUAAUGACAUCACAAAAUAACCGAAAUUACAUAAUUUAGAUCGCCUCUGACCAUUCCCCACGUUCUGUUAGAAAUAUUGUUCCAGUAUUCACUUUAGAACGUGUUAAGAGUUUUGUCAGGAAAAUGUCCGGACAAAAGCACAUUCCUGUGGUGAACAUUGGAGGGAGAUGCUGAAUGUUCUGCCCUUGAUGAAUAUACCCUGACGAAGAGAGCUUGUCUGUCGAAACGUUGGAUAUUACAUUAUUCAAUUAUUUGUCACGAACCGGCUCGAAGUUCGUAACAAAUAGGGAGACAACGUGGAGAUAAGGAAUAACAAAAUAUAUUUAUUAACUGAAGUAACGUAAAUGCAAUUAACAAUGGUGUGUGUAGUCAGUAAUCAGUAGUGUAUGUGAGUGGUUGCAUGCAUAAAUGUGAUAAUGAGGGGUGUUGAAAGGUGCCAACGCAAACAAACAAACAAAAAUAGCCACAACCAAACUCUGUGUCUGCAUAGAGAGUCUCCCCAAUGAAUGGGGAAGAGGUGUAUUUAUCCCAGGACACACCUGAGCCCAGGUCAUAUCCUGCCUCAUAUCCUGCCCGUAUCCCAAAUGACCCAGCCUGCGUCCCAAAUCCAUGAGGGGGGUACGUGUUCACACUUCCACUUGCCCCAGCAAACCUCAUCCUCCCCAGACCUCAGCACACAGGAAGUAACCUUUAAGAGGAAAGAAGAAAACGAGACCAGAAGGGAACAGACAGGAGUGAUAGAACAGGACAAUACCAAACACAAAAUAACAGUGGUCAGUCACGUGAACAUUCACCCUGUUCAUAAGUCACUUAAAGGUGGCAGGUGC